rnacentral:snoRNA from 1 species
GAAAUUUUUCGUUAAAUUUAGCGGGGAAAAUUUUGCGCUAGAUUUAGCUGGAAAAAUUUUUCGUUACAUUUAGCGGAAAAAAUUUUCCGCUAGAUUUAGGGUGGAAUUUUUCCCGUUACAUUUCCCCUAAAUUUAGCGGGGAAAAUUUUCCGCUAGAUUUAGCGGGGAAAACGUUCCGCUAGAUUGAGCUGGGAAAAUUUUCCGCUAGAUCUUGCGGGGAAAUUUU